rnacentral:miRNA from 2 species
CUCAAGAAAGCUGUGGGAGA